CGGGGACCUUCAUGCAAGUCGAACGGCAGCGCGGACUUCGGUCUGGCGGCGAGUGGCGAACGGGUGAGUAAUGUAUCGGAACGUGCCCAGUAGCGGGGGAUAACUACGCGAAAGCGUAGCUAAUACCGCAUACGCCCUACGGGGGAAAGCGGGGGACCUUCGGGCCUCGCACUAUUGGAGCGGCCGAUAUCGGAUUAGCUAGUUGGGGGGUAAAGGCCUACCAAGGCUGCGAUCCGUAGCUGGUUUGAGAGGACGACCAGCCACACUGGGACUGAGACACGGCCCAACUCCUACGGGAGGCAGCAGUGGGGAAUUUUGGACAAUGGGGGCAACCCUGAUCCAGCCAUCCCGCGUGUGCGAUGAAGGCCUUCGGGUUGUAAAGCACUUUUGGCAGGAAAGAAACGGCUCUGGUUAAUACCUGGGGCAACUGACGGUACCUGCAAAUAAGCACCGGCUAACUACGUGCCAGCAGCCGCGGUAAUACGUAGGGUGCAAGCGUUAAUCGGAAUUACUGGGCGUAAAGCGUGCGCAGGCGGUUCGGAAAGAAAGAUGUGAAAUCCCAGGGCUUAACCUUGGAACUGCAUUUUUAACUACCGGGCUAGAGUGUGUCAGAGGGAGGUGGAAUUCCGCGUGUAGCAGUGAAAUGCGUAGAGAUGCGGAGGAACACCGAUGGCGAAGGCAGCCUCCUGGGAUAACACUGACGCUCAUGCACGAAAGCGUGGGGAGCAAACAGGAUUAGAUACCCUGGUAGUCCACGCCCUAAACGAUGUCAACUAGCUGUUGGGGGCUUCGGCCCUUGGUAGCGCAGCUAACGCGUGAAGUUGACCGCCUGGGGAGUACGGUCGCAAGAUUAAACUCAAAGGAAUUGACGGGACCCGCACAGCGUGUAUGAUGUGAAUACUCGAUGCACGGCGAAAACCUUACCCUAC
rnacentral:rRNA from 1 species